UUUGUAGAGAUGGGGGGUCUCACCUUGUUCCCUAGGCUGGUCUUGAACCCCUGGGCCCCAGCAAUCCUCCUGCCUCAGCCUCCCAAAGUGGUGGGAUUACAGAUGUGAGCCACCAAGCCUGGUCGGCUUGUUUUAAACAACUUAAUGUUAUUGAAAAUAUGAUGCCACCCUGAUAUUGAGAUAAAUUUUAAGGGAAGAAUCACCUCUUUCUCAUUACUUGAAUACUGUGUUAAUUUUUGCAUAUUAAGUCAAUUUCCUCCUUUAAUGGCAAUUGGUUGAUCCAUGGUCAUGUUAAAUAAUUUUGCAUAUUUAAUUAACUCGGGUCUUGAUUUGUCUCCGGUCCUGUUUAUUACUGAUGUCACCGUCUGUGUGUGUCUUGUGAUGUGGAGACUUUGCAAGCUGUUUUCCACGGAGUCCAAGCCCCACAGCCCUGCUGUGGCACUGCCUUCAUCAGUGACGCGUUCUUGGCGGAGAGGAUCUAGUUGUAGUUUGUGCUUCCUGGCUGUCAAGGGCCUUGCCUUCCCUUCUACAGGAAACAGCUGAGAAAUCGCUGGUGUGCUGUAGCCUUAAAUAACAGCACCUGCCACUCAGUUGUGUUGUCUUUCAUGAGUUUUCCAAGUGCUCUCCUGCCUUGGGGCAUGUGGGAAGGAAGGUAUUAUCAUUUCCGUUUUACAAAGAUCCCCCGAGAGACUGCAAGUCUCUUGGAUUUUGCUGCUGACACCAGGACAGGAGGUCACAUCCUCUGACCCUCCAUCUUAUGUUCUUUCCAGCAGCCCCAGAACCAGCCAUGGAAACCAGGGGCAGGGCCUCUGUGCUUUAGUUCCCUGAUCUGUAAAAUAAGGGAUCAUAAUAGUACCUAUUUUGUAGGGUCACUAUGAAGUUUAGAUGAGCUGCCACAUGCCUGGGACAGUGCCUGGCACACAACCAUGCAAGCUCUCAGGAGGGUAGUGCCCCGUACCUCCAAUCUUGUUAUGUGGGGGACAGACAGAUCAUCUGGCUUGGGCGCCCCACCCUGCCAUGCAGAUAAAUCCAUGCCCAGAUAACGGUCAUGUGGGAUGGGAAGGUGGGGCUCUAGCGUGUGCCUUCUUGCUGUCCUGUGCUAGGCAUCUUGGGGUCCGGCCUCCUGAACUUGUGCCCUUUCCUUUGCCAGAGUGAGUUGCCCAAGAGGCUGAGGGUGGGCAUGAGGCUGCUUACAAAGCUGAGCUGAUGAUAGUUUGCAGGGCACAGCACCCUUCACUCAGGGAUGCUGGCAUACUCUGUGGGCUUCUUAACAGGCAACAAGUUCUGCCAGCCCAUUGUACAGUCCCCGGCUGGCUGCAGUGUCUGGGCAUUCUGCUUCUCAGCCUUGCCCCACUCACUACUUUCUCAGUGAGUGUCAGUGAGUAAACACGCACGCAAAAGAAUAAAACCAUCAACAAGAGAAAGUGUGGUGUGUAAGGGAAAGGGAGUCAUUCAUUCAUUCAUUCAUUCAGCCAGUGUUGACUACAGUGUGCCAAGUCCUGUUCUAGCUGCUGGGGUGCAGUGGCGAUCAGGGCAGGCCCUGCCCUCAUGGAGCUUACAGACAAGACCAUGACACAGGUGCAUGCUAUGAAAAUGAGUGAGUGGGACAUACUGGGCCUCCCCAAAGUUGGUGGGGAAGAGAGAGAAGGUAAAACCCAAAAUAGGUUCUGUGACUGGCCAGCACCUCAGGGGAGGCCUUUCGAGGGGCAAGGGUGGAGAUUUUCAUGGCUAAGUCCUGUUGUCUAGGGGGGAUUGCCCUUACAGGGGGUCUGCAUGACAUUAGUCAUGAAUCCAAGGUCCUGUGGUGGCAUCAGGGCUGGCACCAACCACAGCUUGCUGCCGAUGUCCCUCCCAUGCUCUGGGUACCUGUCAUAUUUGACACCUCUGUUGCAGAGGUGACAGCUAGAAAAGCAUCCAUUGCCUUUGGGGUGGGGGUUCCCAUUUGUUGUCUCAUGGGAAGGAAGGGAUGCUUUGGAAAGGCUGUGGAAACCCCUUUGGGCUCUGGGUGGAUAACAUGAGUGGGGCCAUUGGAAGGGGUAAAGAAUGCUGAGUCAUGUCUAAAUGACAGCACUUCCUGGGCACUCCUACAUGACUUGCAAUACCCCACAGGCAGGGCCCUUCAUCUCAGCCUGUCUAACAGACUGUGGAUUUGGAUUUUCAUUCAACCAUUAAAUUUUUAAAAAAUUCUGUGAAGCUAAUAGUCAAAGGGUUAGUAGUCUCAUUUAUUCACCAGAUAUUUUUCAGCAACAACUUAUGUACCUGGCUUUUUUCUAGGAGUUGGGGAUAUAGCAGGUGAACAGAAGAGACAAUAAAUCUUGCCCUCAUAGUCUAGCCUUAUGAUAGCAGAAGUCUUUCUUUAAAGAAAGAUCCCUGGAAUCUUUAAAUAUUAACUCCUGGAGUUCACGUAGGCAUCGUGACAGAGGCACAGGGACAGUGGGGUUAGCUGGGAUGUCCAGGGACAGAAGGAAACAGAAGCAGUGUCACUGGUGACCAGUCAGAUGGGUGGACGUCCAGCACCCUCAUGAUGUGGCAGAAGUCAGGGAAGAACGAUAUUCUGUUUAAAAAGUUGAGCUUAUAAAUAGCCAUAUUGGAACAUGUUUAUUAUGUUGAGGAGGUAACUUAUACUUGACUGGUCUUCUAAUAGAGCAGCAAAUGUCAUUGAGUAUUUUCUUUGUGCCUGGGUACAUGGUGCCCAUGGAAAGAUGUGUUCUUUGCCCCAGGGACGACGAUAGUUGAGUAAUUAGCAAAUAAAACAAGGGCAAGUCUAUUGAGAGCCACUUUCUAUGGCAGGGCCUGAGAUCACUAUGGAAAUAACUCAGUAAGAGCAGUCAGAGAAGGCUUCCUGGAGGAGGUGUCUCCAUGCUAGUCAGAAAGAAGUGGGGAACGUGUUCUCAGGGAGUUAGUAACAGGGGAGCAUGGCUUGUGCUCAUGGGACAGAGUGACUGCUCUGUCACAGUGGGGUUGGCAAUGAGGGGCUAGAGGUUAGAGGGCAGGGGACAGUGGAGACCAGUGGGGGGCUUGACACACUCUGCAGCUGUGAGCCAUUGAAGGUUUUGCAGCAGAGCAGUACCCUGGUGCUGGUUGUACUUAGGGUGUCAGCGAGGUGGAGCGAGCUGGGAGGGCAGGUAUAGCAAGUGAUGCUGGAGAGAACAGCUGAAUGUGGCUCUAGAGAAACAGGCUCCUGCCUGGCAAGUCACAGGGUUGUGAAUAAAUCACUCAUGCUUUCUGAGCCUCAGUUCACCUCAUCUACAAAAUGAAAAUAAGAUUUCAAAUCCUAUUUCAUAGAUUCUUUGUGAGUCUUAACUUUAAGAAUAUAUGUGACAAUGCUUUAGGAAAAAAAAAAGUAAAGUGUAAAUUCAAGAAAAAUCUCAGCUGUUGGUGUCAGGAUCCCCUUCUCACAUUGGCUUCCUGUACCUAUGAGAUAGCAAAAAGUAGGGGAGAAAUCUCAUAUUCCUGUGAGUACAUGACAUUAUCGAAACACCAGAGGACCAGGGAGGAUGGUCAGUGAGCUCACAAGCAUUGAUGUCUGCCAUUUGCAUUUAAUCCUC
rnacentral:lncRNA from 10 species